AGCUGAGUGGACUCGGAGUCUCGCGCAGGGAAUACCAGGGAAUGAGGGGCCAGCAACAUGGACAGGGCAGGCGGGAAGUCCGCGGCUGUUGUCGCAGUUGUGACUGAACCUCGGUUUACCCAGCGAUACAGGGAAUAUCUCGAGAAGCAGAAACUCCUGGAGAGACAGUACCGUGUGGAAAAGAUGCCGGAUGGCACUGUGGCGCUACCGGUGCUGGGAGAGGCCCUCCCUGAGCAGCACCUGCGGGAGCUGAGGAAUCGUGUGGCUCCAGGCAGCACCUGUGUGCUAACGCAGCUCCUGAAUCCUGUUCCUUCAAAGAAGUCCCAGGCUUGUUCACCUGCCCAAAGGCUGUGUCUUGAGGUGAGUCGCUGGGUAGAGGGCCGCGGAGUGACGUGGUCAGCUCAGAUGGAGGCUGAUCUGCCCCGAUCUUGGCAACGACAUGGUGACCUCUUGUUGCUGAGUGAGGACUGUUUCCAAGCCAAGCAAUGGAGAAAUCUGGAACCAGAACUCUGGGAGACGGUUGCCUCGGCACUUGGCGUCCAGCGUUUGGCCAAACGAGGGCGGGUGUCACCGGAUGGCACUCGAACUCCAGCAGUGAGUUUGCUUCUGGGCGACCAUGGCUGGGUAGAGCAUGUGGAUAAUGGGAUCCGAUAUAAGUUUGACGUGACUCAGUGCAUGUUCUCCUUCGGAAACAUCACUGAGAAGCUUCGUGUGGCAUCGCUGCCCUGUGCUGGAGAAGUGCUGGUGGAUCUCUAUGCAGGGAUUGGUUAUUUUACCUUGCCUUUCCUAGUUCAUGCUGGUGCUGCCUUCGUCCAUGCCUGCGAGUGGAAUCCCCAUGCUGUAGUUGCUCUGAGAAAUAACCUUGAGCUCAAUGGAGUAGCUGAUCGAUGCCAGAUACACUUUGGGGAUAACAGAAAACUGAAGCUCUCAAACAUUGCGGACAGGGUGAACCUGGGGCUGAUUCCCAGCUCUGAAGAAGGCUGGCCCAUUGCCUGCCAAACGCUAAGACAGGAUGCUGGAGGCAUUUUGCAUAUUCACCAAAAUGUGGAAUCUUUCCCAGGGAAGACUCUCCAGCCUCCUGGAAGCAGUGACAUGGAAAAGGAGUAUUGGUCUUCUCCUCAGCAAAUGAUCACCAACCAGUUGAAAAAUGGAGCUGCCAGUGAUUCUAGGAGAAAAAUGCUGUCAGCCGCCACCAAGCCAGAGUGGCAAAGGUGGGCGGAAGCUGCAGAAACUCAAAUUGCCACUCUUCUUCAACAGGUGCACGGGAAACCGUGGAAGACACAAAUCCUGCACAUCCAACCAGUGAAAUCCUAUGCUCCCCACGUGGAUCACAUAGUCCUGGAUCUGGAAUGCCGCCCCUGUCCUCUAGUUGGCUAGAGAAGGUGGAUCCUGAGACAGGAGGAUCUACGUGUGAGUGACCCUUAAAGCAUCAACUCAGGCUGGGGCCUCACCCCUCUUGUCUUCUGAAUGAGCUACGUAUCUGGGAGAAGUAGUGUGGCUCAUUGAAAUGAGGCCUGGCUGUGCAAUCGCACUGUGUGGAGGGCCAGGGACGUAGAGGUGAGUAAACCUGAGUCCUGCCCACAAUGGAAUCACUGUCUGGUGACACGGACACAGAUGAAGCAAUGUCAGUACUGUGUGCUAAGUGCACAUAUAGAAGCAAGUGGGUUUUUGCAGACACACAUAGGAUCUGGGUUCUGGGAGGUGGAGAGGGUGGCUGGGAAGCCGGGAGCAGGGGUGCCUAAGCUGAGAGUUAGAAAGCGUGCCGCAGUUACGGGUGAUGGGAGAGAAUAAGGGCCCCUUAAGCCUCUUCUCCACCUGAGUAUAUCCAUUUACAGUACAGUUUUCUCCAAGCACUUGCUGGAUGGCCUGACCCGGAAGAGACAUUUAGUGGAACCAAGGAAAAAAGACUGAAGGGGUCAGGAGGCUCAUGGCAUCCUUACAAAUUCAAUCCAGGAAUUUGUAAAAGCUCUAAAGGCUUCCUUUGCAGGCAUUAAUAUUAGUUGCUGAUUCAUGUACCCGCUUGAUGGAGAAGUUGUGAUUAAAAAACAAUAAUAAUGAUUUUAUCAAACUCCCUCAACCGUGACCUGCUCUAUUCAUUCACUCCAUAAUUUUAAUAAAUCACAUGCAUGUAUUAAUACACGAGUAUAAUGUAUAUAUUUAAAACGUACAAACAGAAAUUUAAAACGAUGAGACACAAAUAUAUAGAAAAAGCAUUUUUAAUUCAGUUUCUUCCACCCUGGGCACAUGUGUGAGAAGAAACCCAGUAUAUGUCACUCCAAACAGCCUCAGGGUGCAGCCACUUCACAUGGGCAAGCCAUAAAACUAGUCAUUUUCAAACUAAACUAUUAUUUUAAAUGAUUAAAACUAUUUUUUUCAUAUUUUUAAAAGCAUUUUUGAGUUUUGUUCUGGAAUACAGUUAGGUUACUUGGAAACAGUUUGAUCUUUUUGAGUCUUGCUUUUAAGCAUUUGUUAGAGCAGCGUAUAGUCUAGGAUUAAUUUUUUUCCAUUAUUGAAGCAAGGCCUUUCUUCGUUCUCUGACGCCUUGUGAAUUAUGAGAUUUUCCACUCUUGCUGUACGUAGGAACAGGAAUUAUCCACCACCCUGUGUGGUGUGAGCUCUGAGUAUUGUUUCCUAUAAUCCUUUCUGGUGGGUCUUUUGUUGGCUUUUGGUAGUUUCCUGUCAUGUGGGCUGAUCAUUACUCAGCUACAAACUUUUAAGGGAACGGUCAGCAGAUCUCUGGAGUUCCCUCUGUGUGCGGCUUUCUCCUCUCUGGCAUUCCACCCUGUGAACUCUACUUACUUGGGCUCCCAGGACUCACCUCCUCACCUCAGGGAGUCAGACUGCUGGCCUCCACUCCAUCCUCGUGCCACAGCCUGGAAAACCUCUCCAGGCUGUAAGUUGGAGCAGUUGUAUGGCUCACCUGGUUUGUUUUCCACCUCUCAUGGACCAUUGCUCUUCAUCGCCUAUGUCCGAUGCCUUGAGGGCCAUUGGUUCAUAAAUUUUGUCAAUUUUUUUUAACUAUUUAGAAGUUUAUAAUAAUUGUUUUGACGUAAAUGUACUAGCUUUCACAAUCAUUGGUGAAAUUCACUAUAGCAAUAAUAUACAUACUUCAGCUGACACAAUGUUUCAACAUGUAAAGCACGUAAGAAUUUCUUGCUACAAUUAUGUUUAGAAUGCUUACCUAUAUUAUAAAAUGAAUAUUAAAAUAUUAGCAAUGAUAUCUUUCUGAUUAGAUAUGAUAAUAACUUGCAAGAUUUCCUGACCAACAAUCACACACAAUUUCAGAGAGGCCAGAAACAGUGAGAAAAUAGGUAUCUGUCUCUUUGGGUUUUUAAAGGUCAAGGUUGAAUCCAAGGUAAGUAGAAAAUAUUGAAUAUGAGGCUAAAACUGAAUUUUGGUAUAACACACACAUAUUAGGUAGGUAGGUAGAUACAGAUGGAUAGACUGUCCUAGUUUCCCUUUUUUUCUUUUAGUA